rnacentral:tRNA from 1 species
UCCGAUGUAGUGUAACGGCUAUCAUACUGCGCUUUCAAACGAGAGUGCCGCAGGGAUCGGGGUUCGAUUCCCCGCAUCGGAG